GUUUUCAUAGUGUAGUGGUUAUCACGUUCGCCUCACACGCAAAAUGCCCCCGGUACGAACCCGGGCGAAAACA
rnacentral:tRNA from 1 species